rnacentral:rRNA from 1 species
GUGGAUUAGAUACCCUGGUAGUCCUCACAGUAAACGAUGAAUGCUGGUCAUUGGCGACACAUUGUCAGUGACUGAGGGAAACCAUUAAGCAUUCCACCUGGGGAGUACGCCGGCAACGGUGAAACUCAAAGGAAUUGACGGGGGCCCGCACAAGCGGAGGAACAUGUGGUUUAAUUCGAUGAUACGCGAGGAACCUUACCCGGGCUUGAAAUGUGCAUGACUGUUGGGAGAGAUCCCUUCGUCCUUCGGGCAUGCAUGUAGGUGCUGCACGGUUGUCGCCAGCU